rnacentral:lncRNA from 1 species
GAGUGCACGAAUCAGCUCAAUACCUACGUCCGUUGCUUUUUUUGUUCAUGUUGUAGCGGCACGCUUGUACACACAAAGAAGAAAAGGAGCGGGUGAAGAGGACUUUGUUUUUGCUGUAGCGGCCUCGCUCCAUCCAGUGCUUUAGUGCCGAGCCUUCUAAAUAGACUGCUCCCGCCUUGUAACAAUAUGUCAUGCGCGUAACUUUGCAUCCGUGGUCGACAUUGUAAUAACACAGAUACGGUAUAUUACACAGGUAGUCUGUCUGCCUUAAUUUUGUCUGCUGUUUUUAGGACAUCUAUUACGAGCUACCCGGACGAACGCUACACAUUCGAGAGUUUACAGCUAAAAGAACAUUUUUCCUUGUUGCGCGAGGAGCACAUUUUUUUUUUUCACUUUGCGACAGUUGCGCGGUGAAGUGCUCAAGGCACAUAUCCCUGGAUGGUUGUACCGUCAUUUGUCUAAUUUGUUUUACUGUGCUACUGCUGUCGUUACAGCUUCUGCUGAUCUUAGUUGUGCCCGUCAAGAAAUAUAGCCCAUCUCUGCACCGUUGACAACAAUUAACUGCAAGUGCUGAUUGCUGCUGGUUGGCUCAGUCCAGAAUCAGGUUACUUGCUCUGGCAGGCUGGCCAAUAUUGCCGCCUCCAUCCACACCUGGCUGUUCAGUGAAAGCUGUCCCAUAUAUGGCUGCAUGUUCUUGUCGGAGCCCUGAGCUAUGACAAAUACCACCCGCUUCUCACAGCUCCUAGCUAUGUGGUCUUUUCCUCUGCAGUUGUAAUACACAACUCUCUUCCGCGCCUCCAACGUGUGUACACCAUCAGCGGGGGCAUCUUCGUUUCUUGUGCUACUUUAGGGCCAACCGAAAUGUUCAUCUGCUCAUGACUUUCAAGGAGUUCUUGGACGCAACUUCUCCAUGCUCACAAAGCACCCUGUGUUUCUUCCCCACUAGCAGUCAG